rnacentral:lncRNA from 1 species
AUUAUACAACCCUAACAAUUCCUUCUCUCAAUUCCUCGUGCCUCUUCUUUCAGUUGUUGGCAAGAAUUUCUCUCUUCUUCCUUCUCCCAUUAUAAUACCCUAAACCUUUUCACUUUCCAAUCCCUCUUCUCAUCCUCAUGCCAUUCAAAGAAGAUGAAGUUAUUCUUAUGGUUGGGUCUCCAUCCCCACGCCUCUUUUCAUAGUUGCCUCUCUCCAAUAAAUAGUUGGAGUUCUAUCAUCUUUUGCUAUUUUCAUGAUACUUAGCAUCCUUUGGGGGAAAGGCUAUUUGGGAGGAAGAAAACUAUAAAUAUCCACCCUCAUAGCUUUCAUAGAGGAGAUCUCCUCAUCCUUAACUUUUUUUCUCAUGCUGGUUAGUAUCUAAUGUUGAUUAUAAAUACAUAUAAAAUAUUUAAUAUCGUAUAUUUAUGGAUAAAGUUGCUUUAAUAUAUGAUAAAUUCAUGAUUUAUGAUGUCUUCUCAUUAACAUGUGUUCCCUUUUGUUAUUAAUUGCUGGGUUUUAUAAGUUUGGGUUCAAUUGUAUUGUUUAGUUGAUAUUUUGGAGAAUUUUUAGAAGAUUUUCUGAGAUUUAAUACUCAGAAAAAAGAUCUGUUUUUUUAUUAAUUGGGUUUUGGACCUUGAAUUUGAACCUUUUCUUUGAAAUUUAUAUUUUUAACGCUAGGGAGGUGCAUAUGUUCUUCGGAAUUUGGGGAUUGAUGAUUUGACACCGUUUAUAAUCAAACAAAAUACUGGAUGCUGCUUAUCUAUGCGGAUUUUAUAUAUAGCCUAAUGGAAUUAGUAUUUCUAAAUUUUGUUCCUAUGCUUUUAUUUAAAUUGAAGAGAUAUAAUCACUUUUUAGCAUGUUAAAACUUUAAUUUCUGUAACAUGAUAUGUUCAAUAGUUGUGACUUCAGUUUGAUGGAUCAGUUUUGAUGUAACCAAUCGAUAGCAUGCCAAAGAAUUUGACAUAAAUCUCUGCCUUGUCAUCUAUUGAUGCUAAGAAAAUCUCUCAUGGAAGAAAAAGAAAAUGUUGUGAACUUUGAGUAACGUUUUUUCUUUCUUUUUGCAUAGAUUAUAAGAAACUUUAGAAAGAGCAUAAAUCUCAUUUGUUCUCUUUUUUUGUGGAUUUUUAAUGUCUGCUUCCACCCUUGAAGCAGAGGAGAGUUUAAGCAUUUGAAAUUGGGAAAAAACCACGUAACAUUCUAAUAUCCUUACCUUUUGUGAUUGAACAGAUUAAUGGAAAUGUGUCUAUUGAUUGACGCAUUCGAGUAUAUAGGUGCGUUUAAGGUUUGAAAGAAGACAAGAAGCUUAAAUUUAGGUAGCGAAUAAGAAGGGAAGUUGAAGGUUUUCUACUGAUCUCUUAUCACAUGCUUUCUUGUUUCUUCUUUCUUCGUUAAGCCCAAGAGUAAACAAGUACCGAAAACAUUCCUCUUUCUUCUUUAAGCCCACGAGUAAACAAAUACCGAAAACAUGAGGAUAAUGGAUGGGAAUAGGAUGUUUUUUCAUAGUAAAAUCCCUGCAUCGCUCAUGUCAGUUUUGAUGCUAGAAGGGUCAAUGCAUUCGUAAUAAAAUGUUUGCUGGAUAUCAUAUUUGGUGAAAAAGAAGAAUUUGGCUUAUGCCACAUCAUGUCAUUCAUCUAGAGCUGAUGCAAAUGGAAAAUAUUUUCAAAGUGUUCAAAAAAAAAAAAAAAAAAAAAAAAAAAAAAAUUCAUAAAGUGAAGGGGUGAGGAAUGGUGGUGAGUGUAAUAAGAAAUUCCAAUUUUCCUUGAAAUUGUUGGAGGUGGCUGAAUUUUGCAUUAGUUCAUGCUCUUCCCCCUUGCCCCCACUUUGUGUGACUUGUUUUAGAGCUCUAUAUUAUCAUAUCCUUGGGACCAUGGAGCCCAUGGGUACCCCUGAUCUACCUAGAUUCAGGAUUUUAUUCUUUCAUUUUCCCUGCUCGGGAAUUGGAACUAACCAUUUUAUAUUUACUUGAGAUUUAGUUUAAGUCAACCUUCAUCCUCAAAUGUUGUACAUUUUUGUAUUCACCUGGAAUUCUAAAGACAGACACUAGAAAUAUUUUAUAAUAUUUUCGUGUGGCCUUCACCCCCGAUUAGUGAAAAUUGCUGGUUUGAUUUCUACUUAUGUUGAUAUGGUUUACCUGUUGUUAUUGUAUUUUUUUUAUUCAGUUGACACAAGAUUGUUAAAUAGUCGUAAAUAGCAAGGACUUGUGGUUUGUCACUUUCAACAUAGCUGAUCUUUUGUGAGUAUGAAAAGCAUUUUUUCCCUCUCUUUGUAUUAGGUCCAACAAUAAAUACAUUGGGCUGUGAUUUUAAUUCUAUUUUCACUAGUUUAUUGCCAAUUUUGCCAUUGGUGCUAACUGCUAAGUGGUUUUUUCCCUUUGAACUUAAUUUUCAAUUGUUGCAAUCGUGAAUAUUUUUUGCCUGAGUUUUCUUUUCUUCUUUCAUUUUGCGCUAUCUUGAUCUCCAGAAAUACAGAUAGAUGAACAUGGAAUUUUUUUUAUGCUUUAUGCUAUUUGUGACAAAAGUUUAUACUAUGCUAUAUUUAAUAAUUACAAUUCUUUAACAGAUAAUUCAUGAUCGAAAUUGUUUGGUGGAGGAAAUUUGCAACGGUUACCCGUAUGUGCUUGAGCUUCUCAAAUCAUGCUCCCCUGAAGUGCUUGAUCAUGUAAGGCAAGAGUAUCCACAUGUCUUAUCUUUGUCAAAGCAUGAGCAUCCACAUGCUCCAUUGAAGGCGUGGAUUGUGGGUUAUGCAUUGGGAUGUCUAGGGAUUAAUAACAUUUUAAUUUGUAUCAUCUUUAAUCCCUACUCCUUUUAGUUAGGUGGUUUUGUAUCACAUUUUAAUGUUCAAGUGUUUUGAUUCAAAAAUUUGUAAUGAAAUUAUUAAUUUUUAUGCAAUUCCAAAAUUUGUUCACAAAGUGUUAUUUUCAAUUUUGCAAGUUA